rnacentral:rRNA from 1 species
UACGUAGGGCGCAAGCGUUAUCCGGAAUUAUUGGGCGUAAAGAGCUCGUAGGCGGUUUGUCGCGUCUGCCGUGAAAGUCCGGGGCUCAACUCCGGAUCUGCGGUGGGUACGGGCAGACUAGAGUGAUGUAGGGGAGACUGGAAUUCCUGGUGUAGCGGUGAAAUGCGCAGAUAUCGGGAGGAACACCGGUGGCGAAGGCGGUUCUCUGGGCCUUACCUGACGCUGAGGAGCGAAAGCGUGGG